UACGGAGGAUGCAAGCGUUAUCCGGAAUGAUUGGGCGUAAAGCGUCCGCAGGUGGCAAUGUAAGUCUGCUGUCAAAGCGUCUGGCUCAACCAGAUAAAGGCAGUGGAAACUACAUAGCUAGAGUAAGGUAGGGGUAGAGGGAAUUCCUAGUGUAGCGGUGAAAUGCGUAGAGAUCAGGAAGAACACCGGUGGCGAAAGCGCUCUGCUGGACCUUAACUGACACUGAGGGACGAAAGCUAAGGGAGCGAAUGGG
rnacentral:rRNA from 1 species